AUUUAUUUUGUCACCUGUGAACCAUUAUGUCGUCUUUCCUCUUUGUGAACUUGUGUCAGGAAGAUGUGUGUGCUGGGCCUCGUGGAGCAAAGGUAAGUGAGGAGACGGAAGAGGAAUGGACGGAAACACACAGACAGACCGUAAAUAGUUCGUCAGUCCGUCACGUCACGUCAUGCUGUGGAUAUCCAGCAAGAUGGUAGGCGUGUGUUGUCCCGUGACGCCUCCACUUCAUACCAUCACAACAGAUAGACGCACAUAGUAACUUUGAGGUGUUGACGCCUUCCCAUUGGUCGCCACGGCCCAGGUGACGUCGGCUGUGAUUGGUUCCCUGGCGCACCUCAUUGGACAACACACUCAGGCCAUGGAGGAAGGAAGAGAGAGUGUACAAGGCUUUAACUGAAACAGAAUAUCAGAAGUGUAAUGGAGGAGGUAAAUUUAGUGUACUCACUAAUAUGACUUCCUUUUCUACUCCUUUAUGAAGGAAGAAGGAAGGCAAAAGCCUUUAACUGAAACAGGAUAUCAGAAGUUAGAAAUAUUGUAAUGUAUCCCUCACAAAUAUAACUGAAAAA